rnacentral:rRNA from 1 species
UACGGGGGGGGCAAGCGUUGUUCGGAAUUACGGGGCGUAAAGCGUGCGCAGGCGGCUUUGCAAGACAGAUGUGAAAUCCCCGGGCUUAACCUGGGAACUGCAUUUGUGACUGCAUGGCUAGAGUGCGGCAGAGGGGGAUGGAAUUCCGCGUGUAGCAGUGAAAUGCGUAGAUAUGCGGAGGAACACCGAUGGCGAAGGCAAUCCCCUGGGCCUGCACUGACGCUCAUGCACGAAAGCGUGGGGAGCAAACAGG